AUUUUGGGCCGAUAUAUGGACUUUUUUCAAUAUCGGCCAUCGGCUGAUAUUUACAAAUAAAAAGCCGAUUUGUGAUCAGGCACCCGUACGGGCAGCUGCCACGACCGCUUUUCCCUUAGAAGGACCCCCGGCACUCAGAGAGCGGCGCAUGAGCGGAGCGAGUGAGCCAGGCAACAACAAGCCUCGCUCCACACCUGCUUAUUUGGUAAAAAAAUACAGAUGCACAAUGAGGGACGUCUGCAGCGACUGAGAAAGAGUCUCACCACAUCCUGACAUGAGGAAAAAGACUUUAUUGAAGACUACAAUGAGAAAAACUAUCAGACAGCAGACGGCUGCAUUCAAGAUAAGACAAGUACAAGAUUCUUCAGAGCCGUUCUACCACGAGCCUGACAGGAAGAACUCCAACAGCUACUGAAUGUUCCUGUGGUUCCCUCAAGGCUACAGGAGGAGUCCUACGAGGACGAGCUGGUCCAGCUGAUGGUGGCCAGUCGCUGCGGUUCAAAGCCAACACCGACUACGUGGACUUCUACUGGACCACAUGGAGGCCUUCAAACCGGACCAACAAGUUCAGCGACUCCCCGACUCGUGGGUCUGAGGACGCCGCCGAGCCUCGGUCCAGCUGGCCUCCUGUCUGUGGGUGUUUGAGUGCUGAGAGGUUUGUGGAUGCAUGUGAACGUUCUGUGUUGAAACAGCAGCUUUGGACUCAGUAACGCUGGUAAAAACCAAGAGCUCC
ensembl:lncRNA